rnacentral:rRNA from 1 species
GUGACCUCAAAUCAGGUAGGACUACCCGCUGAACUUAAGCAUAUCAAUAAGCGGAGGAAAAGAAACUAACAAGGAUUCCCCUAGUAACUGCGAGUGAAGCGGGAAAAGCUCAAAUUUAAAAUCUGGCAGUCUUUGGCUGUCCGAGUUGUAAUCUAGAGAAGUGUUAUCCGCGCUGGACCGUGUACAAGUCUCCUGGAAUGGAGCGUC